AGGACUAACGCUGGCGGCGUGCCUAACACAUGCAAGUCGAACGAAGCAGCAAUGCUUAGUGGCAGACGGGUGAGUAACGCGUAGAUAAUGUGCCCUCUUGCGGGGGAUACCGUUUCGAAAGGAACGUUAAUACCGCAUAAUACCCUCGGUGGGCAUCCACUGAGGGUCAAACUUCCGGGGCGGGAGGAGCAAUCUGCGUUCUAUCAGGUAGUUGGUGAGGUAACGGCUCACCAAGCCCUACGACGGAUAACUGGUCUGAGAGGAUGAUCAGUCACACUGGAACUGAGACACGGUCAGACUCCUACGGGAGGCAGCAGUGAGGAAUAUUGCGCAAUGGGACGAAAGCCUGACGCAGCGACGCGCGUGGAGGAUGAAGGUCUUCGGAUUGUAAACUCUGUCAGUAGGAGAGAGUGGACGUACCUAUGAGGAGCUUCGGCUAACUACGU
rnacentral:rRNA from 1 species